GUAUUUAAAAGCAGCAUCUGUUAUUAAUUGGCAAUCAGAGCGUUGAAAGCACAAAAAGAAUGCUAUCUAUAACUUUGUUAUUGUUUACCGGCCUGGGUGCGGUAGUUGUUAGUGCGGAGCUUGACAAUACUGUGGUUUCAAAGUCUUUCAAGGUAUCGUUGGACAGUUCAAGCUUGGAAUGGUGGCAGACCGCAGUGUUUUAUCAAAUUUACCCGAGGAGUUUCAAAGACAGUAAUAAUGAUGGCAGUGGAGACCUACAAGGAAUAAUCCAAAAACUUGACCAUAUCCAAGACGCGGGAGUAGAUGCAAUUUGGCUGUCUCCUGUAUACAAAUCUCCUCAAGUCGAUAACGGUUAUGACAUUUCAGACUAUCGUGACAUCGACGAAAUAUACGGUACAUUAGAUGAUUUGAGACAACUGGUAGAUGAAGCACACAACCGUAGUAUUAAAGUAAUCCUAGAUUACGUUCCCAAUCACACCAGUGAUCAACACGCCUGGUUCCAAGCCUCUUUGAAAAACGAAUCUGGAUACGCUGACUACUAUGUCUGGAAAGAUGCGGUGAUUGUCAACGGAACCAAAACUCCACCAAACAACUGGCUGAGUGGAUUCGGAGGAUCUGCAUGGGAAUGGAGUGAACAGAGACAGCAGUACUACUUGCACCAGUUCUCAACUGGACAACCUGACCUAAACUACCGCAAUCCCACAGUAGUAAACGAAAUGAAAGACGUUUUAAGGUACUGGCUUGACUUUGGAAUUGACGGUUUCAGAAUGGACGCCGUUCCAACUAUAUUUGAAGAUGCAGAUUUCAGAGACGAACCUCUAUCAGGAGAUAACGUAGAUCCAGACAACUAUAAUUACUUAGAACACAUUUACACAACGAUCUAAACGAAACAAUCGAAAUGAUCUAUCAGUUCAGGGCUGUCUUGGACGAGUUCAACCAGAACAGUUCGUAUCCAAGGAUCAUGAUGACCGAGGUUUACAGCGAUAUAGAAACGACAAUGAGGUACUAUGGUACAAAAGACGGUUCCGUUUUGGGAGCACAUUUCACCUUCAAUUUCGAGACGUUCAUUAUGAGCCUUAGACUUGGUUUUAACGCGUUCGAGUUAUUGGACGCUGUGAAAUAUUGGUACGAUUAUAUUCCGUUGUAUUACACUAAUAACUGGGUGUUAGGAAACCAUGAUCAGAACAGAGUUGCGACAAGACUAGGACCAGAAAAUAUCGAUUUUCUAAAUAUGUUUGUAGCUCUUUUACCCGGAAUUCAGGUUACCUACAAUGGAGAGGAGAUUGGGCAAGAAAACGGUGAAGUUACUUGUCAAGAAGGCUAUGAUCCCCAAGCAAUAAAGAACUGUACCACUUUCAAUGAAACCAGCAGAGAUUUCGAGAGAACCCCAUACCAGUGGAAUUCCGAGGUUAACGCAGGAUUUAAUGAGGGAGCCAAAACCUGGUUACCUGUCAGCAAAGAAUACCUCGAAACUAACCUCGAGGCUCAACUAUCCGAAGAUGUUAAUAGUCAUUACAACAUCUAUAAAGAAAUGGUGGAGUUGAGGCGUGUUUUCCAAAACGAGGACGGGUUUUGGACUUAUAUGUCGGCCAACAUAGACAAUUUCUUCGUCUACCGACGAUACAGGCUUGACACCAACGACACGUACACCAUUCUCUUUAACAUAAAUGAGAAAGAACAAGUUGUUCCUGAUAGUUAUAUUCUAUCAGACACCGCUGUCGUUUUGGUUAGGAACAGUUACAGUGACUAUGUCCCAGGAGAUCAUUUUAACAGAAAUCUCACAAUGAAAAGCAGAGAAGCAGUUUUGUUCAAGGAUGUUUAUAAUAUAUAAUUUAUUUGAUGUAAUUAGUAAAAGUUAAUGAAUAAAAUUAGUACGUUAUUAUAAUUAA